rnacentral:rRNA from 1 species
UGGGGAAUUUUGCGCAAUGGACGAAAGUCUGACGCAGCAACGCCGCGUGGAGGAUGAAGCCCUUUGGGGUGUAAACUUCUGUUGAUCGAGAAGAAAAGUUAACGGUUAAUACCCGUUAUAAUGACGUUAUCGAUAAAGAAAGCACCGGCUAAUCUCGUGCCAGCAGCCGCGGUAAUACGAGAGGUGCAAGCGUUAUUCGGAAUUAUUGGGCGUAAAGGGCACGUAGGCGGACCUAUAAGUUUUUUGUUU